rnacentral:lncRNA from 1 species
CUAAUACGCUGAUUUGUCACUGAUAGGAGCAGCUGCAAAGUGGAAGAACAGGCCUUUAGUCAUAGUUUGUUCACUUGGUAGCACAAGUUGGUUGUGGAUGCAAGAGUGUGGCCAAAGUCAAGAAAAGCUUCCAUGAGAAUCGCUUACUUAUGUGGAAUUUACAAAUAAAAAGUAGUGGUAUAUUAUUUGUAAAUUGUAGGCUACACAUGUAUCUAAAAUUUACUGCACACACGUGUGUUAUCUUGGGUGGUUGGGUUAGUGUGUUCUUGAGAAUGUCAGGAAGAUUUAUUUUGGAUUUUGGAGGGUGUGAGAUUUGUGGGGGUGGUUUUGUGUAUGUGAAAAUGUGUUUAUAUGAAUUCUUAGUUUGGAAUUUGAUAUGUAUUUAAUUGGUGAGAAUCUAAUAUGUAUUCACGUGUGUGGGUUGGUUGUGUCUGUGUGGAGAUUGCAGAUUAAAGAAGGUCAUAACUGGGCUGGGCAGUAUUGUGGAACUGUAUGUGUAUUUGGGGAUAUGAGGUGGCAUGUUUGCAUAUUUGUGGCGUGUUAGUUAAUCACGGGUAUAUUUAGGGCAUGUAGACAACUACAUGAGUAUUGAGUUUGUGUGUGCAUUUAAGGGCGUGGCAGUUUAGAUGAAGGUUUUGUGGAGCUAUGUGCUUCUGUUUUGCAGUAAGUGGUUAUUAGGGUUAUAUAUUCUGGGAAUUUAGUAUGUGUGUGUCUGAUAGAGAGAUGGGGUUCUCUUUUUAUACAGGAGAGUGGGAGAGUUGAAUUUAUAUGUAUUAGAGGUAUGUGAUAUGGUUAUUGGUUAGUACUUGGCAAUGUGGGAGCUGGUUCAUACUAGAUUGGGAUAAUUUGGGAUUGGGAAGUGUUUUUAUGGGUAUUUAUAAAUGAUAUGCUGGAGAUAUUUCCAUGCAUCUUGGGUGUAUAUGCUGGUUUGUGUGUAUAUUUAUCAGCAGAUAGACGAAUUAUCUAAGUCUAUUUAUAGAAUACGGGAUUGUUAGUAUUUAAAGUGUAUUUCUUUGGAGAAUGCUAGGAUGUUCGUACAUGUGUUUGGGCAUGUUUAGGGGAUGAGGUGAGGAGGUUGUAUUCUGGAGAUGCAGCAUAUUGAUUGGAUAGUGUUUCGGGGGAUUUAUACACUCAGGGAUUGGGGAUAUUUUUGUGAGUUUUUAUGUGCCCAUGGGUAUAUGAAAGUUGUGUGCGUAUAUUAGAGUAUUAUUGGUGUUUUUGUGGGGUUUUUUUUGCAUUGUAUGGGUUUUAUCUGGGAGGGUGGGGUGUGUAUUCAUGGGUAGUUUGCGAGUGUGUAUAUGAGGGGUUUUGGGUAUAUUAAGACUUAGUGGUCCUCUGUGUCUGUUGUGAAGUGAAAUACUCGCAGAAUUUGGUGUUGCCACUCAUAUGUGUGUUCUCAGAGUUCGUGAGGUGGACUUAUAUGUAUUUGAUAAAAAUAGUUUGUGGUUCUUUGUGUAUUUGAGUUUAUGUGGCUUCUGUAUUUUGUAUUCUGGGAGAUGUGGGAGGUUCAGUGCAUGUCUUUGGAAACAGAGAGGCUGUGUAGGUUGUGUUUGCAUUCAAGAAUCAUGGAUUCCUGUAUUUCAGAGCUGUGGGAUUGUAUGUGAUUCUUUUUCUGGGUGAUGCAUGACACAAGUGUUGUAUACCUUGUGAUUUUUUGGGGGGCCUAUGCCUAUAGGAUUUUCAUUAUGUACUGUUAACAAAUCUACUGAAAAGGAUUUUCUUAAAAAAACAACUCAAAAACAGGAAAGAUAAAAUCCAUCAUUUUGUUUUACUACCCAGAUCCCUUCCGUAGCUGUCAUACAGAGUGUGAUUUAUGACUUGUAAGUUGUGCUAUGGAGCUUGACAACCAAACCUUCAAUACAUUUAUGAAGAGGGCACUAGUGAGACUUUAUACAAUGGAAUAAAAUAACAAAAUGUGCUGACAGCAUUUUUCCACUCAAAGAGGUAUAUAUAUUUUUUAUACUAUCUAAUUCUUUAACUAACUUUAUUUUUUUAGCAUCCAGUGGUGGAGAACAUUACUGGAAGUGUGAUUAAGGCUAUUAUAAGAUACAUAAACUGUAUGGCAUAAGCAUUUUCAACUCAACUUCACACUCUACAUUGUUUAUGAACUUAGUAUGCCAGCUUUUUAAGUGUGGUGGGAUCUGGUAUUCCACACUUAUAUGUCUCUGAAUCCCACCCUUGUACUGAUGCCAAGAUGAACUGAAGCAAGGAUGAAUUUUUCUCUUACAUAGAAACAUGAAUAUAUUCCGAACUGGAGUGAGCUCUCACUAGCGGUUUGCCUAUGGUGAUUACUUUGUGCCUUGUAAUGGGUCAUGUAGUAUCCUCAUAAGGGAGUGUCUGUGUCCUAGACCCUCUCCCAUUCCAGUACCUGUAAAUGUCACCUUAUUUUGAAAUAGGAGCUUUACAGAUAUAAUAAAGUUAAAGAACUCAGGGUGAGAUCAUCUGAAUUUAGAGUGAGUCAUGGGUAGUUGGGACACAGAAACACAAGCAAGGUCAUGUGAAGAUAGAGACAAAGGUUAGAGUUAUGCUGUCACAAGCCAAGGAGUGCCAGGAGCCACCAGAAGCUAGAAGAGGCAAGAAAGGAUUCUUCCCUAGAGGCAUCAGAGGAAGUAUGCCUCUGCCUCCACCUUGAUUUUGGUCUUCUGGCCUCCUAUAAUUGAGAGAGAAUUUUUUGUUUGUUUGUUUGUUUGUUUUACUAUUUUAAGCCACAAAUUUUGUAGCAAUUUCUUUUGGCAGCACUGGGAAACUAGUUAAUGCCUCUAUUAUUUGGUUAAACAAAAAACAUUAUUAAGUAUUUUUAAAACAAUGUAUAACAGUGUUGAUUAUGGUAAGCAUACAAUUUAUAAUUAGAUAGGUUUCUGUGUAAAAUUUCAUGUUACUGUAUUGAUUUGUUUUAACCACACAAGACUUGCUUGGAUGUGGUACUAUUGAAUACCAUCCCCAUUCCCUCCUGUCCCACAGCUUUUUGAAAUUUAUGGGGCUUUGUUCUAGACUGAAUAUUCCUUUUCCUUCAAAUUUCAUAUGUUAAAGCCCUGCCCCACAAUGUGACAGUAUUGGGAAGUGAGGCCUUUGAGAAUUAAUUAGGUUUAGACAAAGUCAUGAGUGUAGGGCCCUCUUCAAUGGAAUUAGUGUCCUUAUAAGAACAGGAAGAGAGUCUAUAGAGUGCUCUCUCUCUCUCUUUCUCUAUCUGCUGUUUGAGGAUACAGCAAACCGGGAAGAAGACCCUUACCAGGAAACAAAUUUGCUAGUACCUUAAUCUUGCACUUUCCAGCUUCUACAAUUGUAAGAAAUGUCUGUUGUGUAAGCCAUUCAGUCCAUAAUAUUUUGUUAUAGAAGCCUGGACUGACUGAUAUAGGCUGGAACAUGCUGGAGAGAUGGUACAAAAACUAAUUUUAGAAAAAUAUUUUAAGUUGUAAGAUCUGACGCAAAAAUCACUUAAAUAUUUCCAUUUACAUCACCAAAUUACUCCAUUUACAGUAUCAAAUUAAGGAAAUUUAUGUUUUAUUCAAGCCUUUUAAAAUCAGCACACCCACCUUGCGGAAGUAAUUAAUAACCCAUGAUUAUUAAUUAUGUUUGCCAAGUUAAUUUUCAUCCAGUAUUACUUGCAAGGAAAGUUUGAAAUUGAUGAAUCAUCUUCCUCUUGAGAUGUCACUUGUGGAACUAAAGGCUACCUAUAAUUUCUGUAAUCGUUACUCUUUAAUGGAACUUUAAACUUCUAAGAAAAAUAUUUCAAUAUAUUGUUAAAUUGACUUAAAUGACUAAGAUUGUGGUGGAG